CAAAUAUCCACCAAUAAAAGCCCUCUUCCAAACAGCUGCAAGGGGGCAAAAGCCCUUCCCGUUGUUACAACAAAGUGUAAAUGUAACCCCUAGGAAACAUUGCUUCAGGCCAAAGGGUCUGAAGAAAGAGCAGGGUUGCGAGUAAGAGAUUUGAAUCAGAAAAAGUGGGAGAAUAAAGAGGUCGGAACUGCUGUUGCCACUUAGACAACCAAGGUCCUUGUCAACUUGGUCUUGGUGAAAUUCCUAAAUGUUUGUGAUGGAAGAGAAUGUGCAAUUGAAUUUAUAUUUUAUUCUAGGGUUUUCAAGACUUUACAUGUGGAGCUGAUUCUUUUAUGUUAUGGAUACUCAACCCAGCUGAUGAAAAUAGGUUGGAUUUUUAUCUGAUGUUGAAAUCAAAGGGACACUUGAACUUUACAAUUCCACAACUUCUGGAAUGGCACUGUUGCCAAGGUCUUGGGUGCACAAAUUGUAGCAUUUUCUUACUGUUAUAAUUGCUCAACGUUGCGUGACAUAACUGUGAAUAAGAAGAGACUCAUUCGGUGAAAUUGCUUCUGCAAGGUUCAUCCACAGAGACCUAAAUUCAACGGUUCAUCUUUUCUGAGAUGUUAUGAUUACAGGUUUAUUUAUUACUGUUCUGCUAUUUUAGUGCAAUGUAUUAUACAGAGGUGCCUACUAUGGAUGGAGGGAAGGGCUGUGGGAAUCUGGAACUUGGGAAUAUUUCAGAGCCUUCUGGAAUAUUCAUUCCCCCUCCCCGGGCCGGCCGCCUCUAAAUUUGGUAGCAAGUCCUCUUUAUUUGCACAGUCAUAAGAAUGAUAUACUAGGAAUAUUCUGUCCCUCUGUACACUAGAAAGCUAAAUUUUUCUUCCUGGAAUGAAGCCCAGUAAAUGCAAAGGCACUGGAAUGACAGAGAACAGGACAACAAAGCACAGCAUUCCAAGGUCUUCAGAUGCAACCCGCCCUGUUGCAGACUUCUUUGAUCCUGCAUGCGUUCUUCUGAAUUUGCCCAGGCUCAAAAAUCAACAAUCCUUCUGCUUUUUAUAGGAUUUCUUCAGCAGGGAUGAAAGUGACUGAACCAAAAGGCCCCUGAGUUUGCCCAAGGCUGCCGAUGACACCAGCUUCAACUUUGGCAGCUGGCUUUUCAUGCAAUCUUCGACACACAGCAAGGGAGAAAAUCCAUGCAUCGAAUUAGGGAUGCUAGAAGAACAGGGCCCUCGUCAAUUCUGCUGAAGACUGACAUGGUCCACACCUCCUGAACUACGAUGGGAAGGUAACUGUCUACUAACUUUCACACUUUGUGAUGCAGUUUGUAUCACGCUGCAUUUGAAAAUGUACAUUUUGAGAGAAAAUGAGCCUACAAAGACUGAGAUGGGGGAGAGCAUGUGGCAUUUAUCGUGCCUCCCUUUAAGGCUUAAAGAAGGAAAACCUUGCCCUGUCCUGUCCUGUAAUGUAAUGCAAUGCAAUGCACAAUGCUAAGAAGAAGAAAAAUAAAGCAUCAGAAAACAAAUGAAAUCA
rnacentral:lncRNA from 1 species